rnacentral:rRNA from 1 species
UGAGGAAUUUUGCGCAAUGGGGGAAACCCUGACGCAGCGACGCCGCGUGGAGGAUGAAGGCCUUCGGGUCGUAAACUCCUGUCAGAGGUGAAGAAUGCCCGCAAGGGUUUGACGGUAACCUCAGAGGAAGCCCCGGCUAACUACGUGCCAGCAGCCGCGGUAAUACGUAGGGGGCAAACGUUACUCGGAAUUACUGGGCGUAAAGGGUGCGUAGGCGGCUGGGAAGGUCAAGGAUGAAAUCCCGUGGCUCAACUGCGGAACGGUCCUUGAAACUACUCGGCUUGAGGAUAACCGAGGAGAACGGAAUUCCAGGUGGAGCGGUGAAAUGCGUAGAUAUCGGGAGGAACACCUGAGGCGAAAGCGGUUCUCUAGACUACUCCUGACGCUGUGGCACGAAAGCUAGGGGAGCAAACGG